AAAGUUUGAUACUAUACUUUAUAAAUAAAUCAACCGGAAUAAAAAUAGUAACAUGAUGACUAAUUAAUACAUCAAUUUCUAUAGCAACGGCAUGAUUAUGCUAAUUAAAACAUGUAUAUAACUAGAAAUGAUACUACUUUCCAUUUGGGCAAUCUAUCAAACAGUUGGAAGAUAUCAAUUUGGAGGCACGUCAUGACCAACUGCAGCUUCGUCAAGCUUGUUCGUCUUGGGAACGCAUAUGCAUAGAUGCCAAACACAAAGGGGUUGGUCUUCACAUAAAUCAUAGCAGUCUUCAUCAGAAUGACAGUGGUGUAGAGCAGCCACUAGCUUGAAGGAUGGAGUAUUUGCAACUGCAUAUUAAAACAUUAAAACAAGGCUUUAUUUAGAACAAAAUAUUGUUUGUUUUUACUUUGACUUUAUAUGAAGAACUUGCUGUCAAUCCCAAUUUAUUUGAGACUGAAAUGCAAUUUGUGUUGUUGUUAUUGAAGCUAAAUCAACAACACAAACAUAUUCAGUAUUCUUGGAAGGGUUGUGUGUACACACACCUUACUCCUAACUUGUGUAGAGUGUUAAAUUGCUUAAAACAAGCCAAAAACAAUAAGUUGGCAACCCAACUUAUUAUUUUUUGGCUUAAAAGUUAUUUCUACCCAAAAAACCACUUGUUUUAACCCAAUUCAAUCGAGUUCUAAGUCAUAAGUAAUAAAAUUUGACCUUCUGUAUUCUGAAAGCAUCACAUAAAGUGGAAUAAAGAAAAUAUAUUCUGUGCAUUCUGAGGUUUUUUUUUAUAUAAAGAGAGUAAUGAAAAUGAAAGAGAAACAAGCCCAUGACAAUUAGCAAAAAGGCAAUCAAGAACGAAGACUUCAUAAGAACCUUGGCCAUCUUUUAUCUCCACUACUGCACUUUUUAAAGAAUUAACAAUAU
rnacentral:lncRNA from 1 species